UACAGAGGGUGCAAGCGUUGUUCGGGAUUAUUGGGCGGAAAGCGCGUGUAGGCGGCUUUGCAAGUCGGGUGUGAAAGCCCUCAGCUCAACUGAGGAAGUGCGCCCGAAACUGCAGAGCUUGAGUGCCGGAGAGGGUGGCGGAAUUCCCCAAGUAGAGGUGAAAUUCGUAGAUAUGGGGAGGAACACCGGUGGCGAAGGCGGCCACCUGGACGGUAACUGACGCUGAGACGCGAAAGCGUGGGGAGCAAACAGG
rnacentral:rRNA from 1 species